CUGAAUUUUUUUUUUGUUUCAAGAUGGAGUUUCACUCUGUCACCCAGGCUGGAGUGCAGUGGUGCGAUCUUGGCUGACUGCAACCUCUGCCUCCCGAGCUCAAGCGAUUCUCGGGCCGCAGCCUCCCAACACUGGAAUUUUAUAACAACGAAGCAAUAGAAGAGAUCCCAGUCCCAGCCCUGGAAUGGGUCGUGGAGGCACCAGGCUGCUUCUUUGGUUGACAGAAGAUGGGAUGAGGACGGGUUCGAGGGACGGCCUGGGAUAAUGGACAAAGCGAAAUAUUGGGAUAUUUUAACAACCACACUCACCUGCUAUUCAGCUUGGGUGGAGGCUGAUUGGCCACCAGCCACCACCUUCACUGGGGAUUGGAAGGUAUAGCUGGGUCUUCU
rnacentral:lncRNA from 1 species